UGGCAGGGUUUCAAAAACCGCCGGGGGCCCGGUUACCGCCACCCGGCGGUACGACGGUUACCGGCGGUAACCGCGGUAACCGCGCAAAACCGCGACAAAUUUACAAAUCGAAAUUUGAAUUCAAAAAUUCGGGCAAACCGCGCGGUUUGGCGCGGUUACCGCGCGGUUUGACGCGGUAACCACGCGGUUUGGCGCGGUUACCGCGCGAUGUGUAAUGGGUUGCACAGUAACGGGCCGGCCCAUUUUUUUUUUCUUUUUCCAAUUUUCAAAUUUAUUCUCCGUUUUGCUCUCAAAUUUGAAUAAAUAUUACUCUUUUUUGAGAAAUUUCUUCACCAUAAAACACUAUAAAUCAAGCACUACCUUCACUAUUUUUUUUUGAUUUUUUUCUUUUUUUUUUAAAUUUUUGAAUUUGGACGAAUUUUAUUAAACCGUACCGCGCGGUACGGGUAACCGUACCCCCGCGGUACGGGCGGUAACCGCGGUAACCGCGCGGUUACCGGCGGUUUUUCACACCCUGCGCGCUGGUGGAUGACCACCCGGCGGGGGUGACCACCAUGACGGGCCAACCACACAGGGAGAACAUCGAGGUGCUCCACCUCCGGACGCGGCGGUGGAACACCGUGGUGGCGGUGUACGUCCGCCACCUGGACGCCGCCACCACGUUGCUCUACUCCCACGGCAACGCUGCUGACCUCGGGCACCUCUACCAGCUCUUCCUCCAUCUCUCCUUCAACCUCCGUGUCAACGUCCUCAGGUCAGUCAACUCACUCAUGCUCGCUCACUUCCUUGCUUGCUUCCUUCCCUCUCCUGCUUCAUUUGCUUCCUUCUCCUCCUGCGCCGCGCGGCGCGUGCGUUGGGGGGGGGGUGGGCGUGAUCUGUGUGGUGGGGUUUGGGCGCCCCAGUACGUGGCUUCUGGUGCUCCUCCAUGACUGCGGCUUUCUCGAUUCGUUAUGUCCGGAUGGGAAAUUUCAUGUUCUACUCUGAAAUUUUCCCUCUUUUUAGAUCAAGUGGGUUUACCCGCAAACCCGUUUAUAGGCAAAAAUAGUGCGUAACCCGCCAGUUUGACUAGCGGGUUAACUAUGAAUUUGACUUAUAAAUAGGUUUAUAGAUCGAUCCACUUGUAUAUUUAGAUGCAGCAAGUUGGGCCGGGACGCGAAAACCCAUAAAUUAUUAUUUAUUUAAACUCGUGGGUCGGCCCGCUUGCACCCCUAUUUUGAGCGCUAUUCAUGUCGUGGUACUCGAUAAUUUUGCUCUUUUAGCCUAGGAAAUCGAUGACUACUCCCUGUUUUUUUUUUUGAGAAAUUUUGAUUAUGUCUUUCGGAAUAUUUAUUUCCGUCCCCUUAGGUUUGCCGCAAUAUUAAGCAAAAUCACGCAAAUUCGGCAUAUACUACAUGGUGUGAUUUGUUAAUUGCGAUGGUUCGCCUGGUCGUGGUCCGACGUCGGCACGCCGGCGUCGCUGGAGGACAAGCACGUGCUGCACGCCAUCACGAUGGAGGACGGCCGGUGUUCCCCCUCUCUUGCCGCUCCUCUCCCCCGCUGCCGCACCGCGCGCCGCUACUCUCCGCCGUCGAGCUCACAAUCGCGCCAGCCGUCUCUCUCCAUUUUAUCUCACUUACAUGUAUGCCUUAGAUAUUUAUUUUUUUAUUUUUUACUGACUAGGAUGUCACGUGAGCAAAACUGGAUGUAAAUACUGCCAUAAUACCUUCUUUGCACGGUUUAAAUGAGUUUAGGGGUGAACGUUUCUGAUUUUGUGGCUGAGGAAUCUCAGAAAAUCUCUCUGUUAAGUUGAGAAACGUCCGGUGAACUUAUUCCUUGUAGCUUCUACUCGGAACUGGCCUAGCCCAGCCAACCAAAACCUCCAACCGAUCAAGCCUGCGGUCGCCAUUGUUAGGGCUGAAUAUCAAGCCUGCUGGUGAGCUCGGCCCGGCUUAUUAUGGCUUUAAUUAAGAUAAGGAAAAAGUACGCCGAAGGUCCCUCAACUUGUCAUUCGUCCCUCAACCACACAACCAGAUAUAUCACAUCCCUCAACUUAUAAAACCGUUCACUUUAGUUCCCUAGGUGGUUUUCACCCUGGUUUUGUCUGACGUGGCAGCCGAGUCAGCGUGAGACCCACGUGGGCCCCAUGUGACAGGGUGUCCACGUCACCCCUCUCUCUCUCUCUCUUUCCCCUCUCUCCUUCCUCUCUCAUUUUUCGCCUUGAUGUGGAUGGCGGCAGCGUCUUCCACGCGACGGGGAAGAGGGCUGGCGUGGCUGGCGGCUGGCAGGGGAGGAGCGCUGCGGAGAGGAGGGCCGAUGUGACGGGCGCCGCCGCCGAUGGCUACUGUCGCGCGGAUGGCCACGGCGGUCGUCCCCCUCAACCGUCGGCCUCGACGCGGCCCAGCAAUCCGCUCCCGUCCACACUCCUCUCCGUGCGCACCUCCGCGCCGGGGACGCGUCGUUCGUGGAUGUCGUCGUCACGCAGGCGCGGCCGCGCGGGUGUUCGACUUCCGGUCGCCGCUCGUCGACCUCCUUGCCGUCUCCGCCGCGCGCUUCUGAUACUCUGCUGAGAUGCGGCGUACCCGUGGGUGGUGGCGAUGAGCGCGGCGGGGUCGGUCCGUGGUCGCGCACGCGCCGCCCAUCCGCCUCACGCAGCGGGGUAGCUGAUGGCGAACCCGCCGCCGCCGAACGCCAUGCUGUACGAGUGCAUCACGUCCUGCUCCACGCUCUCUGACGGCGCCCCGAUGUAGUACGUCUUCGCGUGGUCGAACUUGUUCAACACAGCCACCAUGUUGUCCGGGAAGAACACCGUGUCGUCGUCACCCAUCACGAACCACCCAUCCCAGUGCAUCGUAUCACGUCGCACAACCAUCGGAAGAGCACCCCGGAACGAAAUCAUGGCGGCGGCGACGACGACAAAUAAGCUCCAGACGAUGCGGUGGAGCUACCUCGACGAGGACGACGACUACGGCGACGGCGGUGACCUCAGCACCCUGCUCCCACCGCGCGUGGUCAUCCGGCCGGACGAGAACAGGAUCCGUCGAGUACCGCUUCAACGAGGAUGGGAAAGCGGUGAAGGUGACCACCACCACCCGCGUCCGUGAGGUCGCGCGCACGCGCGUCACCAAGUGCGCCGUCGAGCGCCGCCGCUAGGCCAAGUUCAGCGCCACCGCGCACAACGACGACGCCAGCGAGCCAGGGCCCCACCGGUUGCUCGUCGAGCCAGACAUGGCCGCGCAUCUCCCCAUGGCACCACCACAGCUCCACGUACCCGCGCCGCUUGUCCCCGGCGCGGAGGUGCAUGGAGAGGAGUGUGGACGGGAGCAGAUUGCUGGGCCGCGUCGAGGCCGACGGUUGAGGGGGACGACCGCCGCGGCCAUCCGCGCGACAGCAGGCAUCGGUGGCGCCGCCCGUCACAUCGGCCCUCCUCUCCGCAGCGCUCCUCCCCUGCCAGCCGCCGGCCACGCCGGCCUUCCUCCCUGUCGCGUCGAAGACGCAGCGCCAUCCACAUCCAGGCGAAAAAUGAGAGAGGAAGGAGAGUAGAGGGGAAAGAGAGAGAGAGGGGUGACAUGGACACCCUGUCACGUGGGUCUUACGCUGACUCAGCUGCCACAUUAGAUAAAACCGGGAAGAAAACCACCUAGGGAACUAGGUUUUGUAAGUUGAAGGAUGUGAUAUAUCUGGUUUUGCGGUUGGGAACGAUUUUGUAACUCGAUGACAAGUCGAGGGACCUUUGGCGUACUUUUUCCUACAACUCGUCCAAGCCGGCCAUUGAUCGGAGCCAUGCAGCCCAUGUCGCCGUGGCCCACUUUCAUCGGUCAUCGACUGCCGAUCGAAAAGCCCCCCCAGAAGUAGAGAAACACCGGCCCAGACGGUAUGGAGAAGCGCGGCUACGUGUCGUCGCCUCCGUAGUGCGGCGGCGGCGCACGCGUUCCCUCCGGUCGCCUCGCUGCGCUGAGCUGAGCUGACGCCCGCGUGGAGCUCGUACUAGUCCUCGUGCUUGGCCGCCACGGAGACGGAGAGAGGCCUCCGCCCUUCCCACGUCCCGCUCGUCGAUCCGAUCCAAUCAAACGUGCACGUCAAACAUGCACACGUCCCACGGCCGGAGAAGAGCAGCAUGGCUUGGCGUGCGUGACGCUACUCCUUUUCCCGCCGCGUUUGCUUAUGGCACCAACCAACACACGCGUGGGUGGGACGGUAGAUUAGUAUUGUCCCCCCCACCACAGGCGAUUUACUACACUUUCCUAUACCCAAGGUUGCUAGGACCAGGAUAGUAUCGUCUCGCUCAAAGUAAUAUCGUAUUGUAAGAUUGUAUUGUAGUUUCAGGAUACUAUGAGAUUUUCUUUUUUUAAGUUUAAUUAAUAUUUAUAUUAAUUAUAUAUAUAGCCAUUCUAUAUAAAAAAAUAUAGUAAUGAUAUAUGUAAUGCAAAUAGAGACAUUUAUCAAGAGAAACCAUGUUGGUUUUGAUAUAUUUAACUGAUUUUUAUAAAAAUUUGAGCAUAUUUAUUUAUAUUAUUUUCAAACCAUGUUAUUUUAAAUAAUAUUUUGUAGUAUCGUAGGGAUCGUAGAAUCGGGAUAGCACCUAAGAUUUCGUAGGAUCAUGUAGUAAUGAGUAGUAGGAUCGAGAUACUAUGAAAAUUAGGAUACUAGAUGGGAUUGGUAUCGUUUCGGCUUGGUAGGAUCGUAGUAUCGUAAGAUACUAGGAUAUGUAUCGGGAUACUGACAACCUUGUUUGUACCCUUUUGAUCGUAUAGAGAAUUUUCACUACGCCGGACCAGGUCAUCUCUGACGGGCCCAAACCCUCACCUUUGACGGGUUUGGUCUUGGUCAGUGAUUAGUGGUCACUGAUGACAAAAUCACCUGUGACGGAUGAAACACCCGUCACAGAUAACCCAUCUCUGACCGGUAUAUAAGUCAUCUCUGACGGGUUAAAACUUGUCACCCGUCACAGAUGAGUCAUCAGUGACGUGUCGUAACUACCUGACCGUCACUGAUGACUCAUCUCUGACGGGUUGUAACUUACGACCCGUCACUGAUGACAAAGCAAGAAAUACAAUUUUUGAAUUUUAAACGCAACAAAAAACCUCAAAAAAAUAUUUUGAAUUUUACUAGCCAUUCUAUACAUGGUUACACAUCACUACCUACAAAUUCACAAUUUUUCACGCAAUAUAACUUGUAUGCUACAAGUGAGAUUCGAACUCAAGACCUCAACCUCCAUAUAGAGCUCCCUUACCAACUCACCUACUCAACACAUAUUGACUACUAACCUAAUGUUAUUAUUUUGUCUAUGCUUAUCUGAAUCAUUUAACAUAUAUUUAACACCCUAAAUGACUUCAAAUGAAAAUAUUAUCAACUAAAUAGUUAUAGAUCUCAUCGUGUUUUAUAACUUUUACAUAGAAAAUAUCUUCAUCCGAUGUUGUUUGAAGAAUUCAAAAUUUCAUUUUUCAAAAUAUAUCUCACUUUAUAACAUGUAAAUUUUGUGAAAUGAAAAUAUUUUCAAUUAUAAUGUUGUAGAUCUUAUUGAGUUCUAUGACUUUGAUACGGGGCAUGUAUCCAUCCAUGUCAUUUGAAAAAAAACUCAAAAUUUUGUUUUUAAAAGUAGAUCUGAUCACUUGUAAUGCAUGUUCGGGGAUGUAAACGAUCUCUAAUAGAAAUGUUGUUAGUUAUAAAGUUGUGGAUAUCAUUGAGAGCUACAACUUUUAUAUAGGACAUGUUUCAAUCCGAGGUUUUUUGCAAAAUUUAAAAAUUUGAAUUUUCACCUGUGAUAUCCGAAAGGAAAACCCGUCAGAGGUAUACCAGUGACGAGUUUUCCUUUCGGCCCGUCACAGGUGAGGGGAUACCUGUGACGGUCCGCGGCCGGAUGGCUCACCGGUGACGUUAUCCCGUCUGACCCGUCAGAGGUAAUGGUCACUAGUGACCAAAUCGUUUGCCCGUCACAGGUAUCCCGUCAGAGGUGUGAGGAUCUGGCGUAGUGUUUCACGAUGUCACAUGUGCGUUGACUCAGAUUAUUCUACAAACACGAUUGUUAUUAUUUUCUUUAUGUUGCUCUAGAAAUUUAUAUAAAUUUAUACUGAUUAUUAUAGCAUUUUCCAACCGAAUUGCGGUUACAUUAUCCCACUUUCAUGAUUAACUAGCGUAUACAGUCAUACGUUCGCACGACUUUAACCUCUUUAUGUACUAAACGUGUUUACAUUUACACGUUGUUUGUACUGAUAAAUUAUACUUAGUCUAUAGCUAUACUUAUCGGCGACAGUGGAUCCGUGGUUUAUAAAUAUGAGAAGUGGGUUUAUUUGUAUGUUUUUUAAAGAAUUUAUAUGCAGAAUAGAGUUUUAGAAUUGUUGUAGCGGACAGGGUUGGGUUUUGUAUUUGUCUUCUAUGCUGCCAUUUCUCCCUCCCUAAUCAUCUUUUUAGCUUUUGCUUUAGCAGUUUAGCCGCCUCAUUGCCACCGAUCAUCGUUUGCAUUUUUGUAUGACCCUACCAUUCUCAUAUUAUUUUUAUGUACUUAAUAGGUGUUCGGAAAACUUAUUUGACCAAAAAUCUAUACAUACAAUACAAAUAUAUCUAUCUUGUAUGUAAUAAAUAAAUGUUAUCAUGAAAAUAAAUACUAAUUUUAUUACUCCCUUCGUUGCUAAAUAUUAUAGGUCUACGUUUGAGCAUAGCAUCAUAAUAGUAAGUUAAGAUGUUUUUUUUUUCUUUUAUUGUUUUGAAAUAUUGUUGUCCGAUUUGAAGUAGUAAAAUGGAUUGCCAUGUUUACUCACCAAUAAUGUUAGAAAAACACCCAUUAAUUGCACUAUCAAAUGUUUCGUCGAGCAUGCAUGCGUCUUAUUGAUAUUUUAUUGUCAUUGGAGAUUUUACCUUUAAGCAUCAUGAUGGUUACUAAUAGUAUAGUAAACAACUAUUGUAUGAAUUGGCUAUUAGAUUGGCUAUAGAUAAAUUGGAGUUAAUAGUGGGCUAUGUUUUAGAUCUUAUGUUUUUACCAUAUAUUAAUUAAGAGCAACUAUUAAACUUGCUCUUAGAGCUAUGUUUUCGAUCUUUGGGCUUGAAUUAUUAUAUUUAUUUAUGAUCGGCCAAGCCAGCCCAUCCAGCCAUAAUCGUUGCCUGAUGUGCACUGUCUCUCUCCCCCUGCAAGAAAGAAGGCUAGAAAGCUCUAGAUAGCGUUUCAUUGGUUUUUUUACUAAUCCAAUCCAACGGCCGCUUUCACCCUCCUUUUCUCUAUCUGAUGGUCUAGAAUUUUUAUUUUAUGUGGAUCAAUAAGAUGAUGUUUUGAGAUUCUCUUUUCACUUGGAAAGAUUCCCAGAUUGUUUUAUAUUUUGUCAUACCGCAAUAAUAUUAUCGUUUUUGGCAGGUACCACCACAGUAUCUAAAAGCUAUUGGACCCUCCAAAAUGCAUCUUUUGUUGACGAAAACAGUUUUUCUCUUCACGCUGUUCACUUCUCGUUGAUCUGCCCUUCCCAGUCCCCAGAGCCGGUGGUCAGCUCCCCGGCGAGACGAUGCGCGCGGCACAAGCAGCCGGCCGAUCCGGAUCCAUGGCGAAGCGGUGGACAGUGGACACAGCCCAAGACCGCGGAGGCCGGAGCCCACUACCGGUCACACGUCCCUAGCUGGGCAAGCGUGCAUAUGGCCUGAUCGAUAUAUGAUAGAUCGUACGAUCGAUCUACUAUUCUGCCUCUCGGUGCCCUGUUCGCGACUGAUUAAAAAAAAUGAGAGUUAAGGAAAAAAUUAUCAACGUGUAAAAAUAUUAUAAAUUUUAAAAUAUUAUAAAAAAAGUAAUUAUCAACGUAUAAAAAUAAUCAAGUUUUAAAUAUUAUCAAUUUUAAAAAUAGAUUUAAUUAAUAUUUUAAAGUAAUUUCUACGUAGAAAGUUCUAGUGCGGUUUGAAAAACAUGUUAACAGAAGUCGAAUUAUAGUAAGAAAAGAACGGGGGCACUACAGCAUCCAACACAUCUGCUUGGUCAAGAGUACGAGACUAGUAUGGACCGUCCGUGCGUGCCGUGUGUUGUCCAAAAUACUACUUUCUUCGUCUUAAAGAAAACAUAACUUCCAUUUAUGUAUCUGAGUAUAGGCAGUAGUUUUAUUAUUUUUUUUUUUACAAAAGAAGUAGUAACAAAGAGAGCAUCCAUCACCGUCCAUCUCCAUCCCAUCGUCGUCAGUCGUCAGCCGCAUGCGUCUAAAACCUUCCCAGGUAGCCCAACAAAACGUGGGUUUUGCUACUGCUACGUGUCACCGAUUUUUGGGCUGUACACGUGGGGAGAGUACGUACAACCGCGGUCUCGUCGUUCUCGUUGGUGACCCGUCUAAAAGCGAAAGCCGCAAUUUUUCUUAGAUAGUAGUAAUAAAAAUGGUAUGGAGAGUCACACAGAAAAACUUGUCAUCGUUACGUGCUUCUAGGUACGUUGACGUAUCCGGUUUUGUAAUUGCGUCCUCACGAUUAGUCGGUAUUAAGCUUGAUUAUAAAAAAAUGGCUACCUACUUACACUGGAUGAUAUUUUAAUUUGUCUGAAUUAUGCAUCGAAUAUUUGGCUGGUAUAUGUAUCUACCAAACGUUCAUAUAGUUACCUAUUUUCAUAUAAAGCUAGAUAUCUUUACUCUUUUUUUUUAUUAUUUUGGAUCACCCCUUCUCCAUCUCUCUUCUCCUCCUCGACCAUGGUGAUCAUGGCUUGAUCACUAGUGCCAGCAGCGGCAACAAAUGUCACGGGACAGAUCGUGGAGUCGCCUGUAGGCACCAGCACGACCCUUUUGGGCUAGCCGUGAUGGCCUGUGCAGCAGCGUCGAGCGUGUUGUUAUCAUGCAGCUCAAUGACCUCGGUCGCCACCAACUUAAUUGUGGAAGAACAUGGCGGCUUGGGUGCAGUGGGAAACCGGAAGAGAAGAGAGAAAUUGAAAAAUUGAUAUGGGGUGGUCCUCAGUAAAAAAAGUAAAAAGUUCGAAUUACCCCUAAACUAUUAUAGACUGUUGUAGCAACAAGAAUUACUCGAUCAAUUAAAAACCAGACAUUCUUCACCCUUAACUUUUUAUAAGGUUGAAAUAUUUCGCUACUGGUCUCCUGAGCGAUUUUGGCCCACGUACACGUGGCCGUUCAUGUAGCAUAAAAAUAUAAGGUAGGGCCCAUAUGUAGUGACGAGAGAAGAGGUAGAACUGACAAUUGAGUCUUAGCAUUUUUUAUUUUAUAUGCUAACUAGAAUGUCACAUGUGUAUCAUGUAGAACUAAAACCGUUCCAGAGUGGGUCAGGGGAUAAUUCGUUCGAUAUGAAAAGUUGAAGAUGAAAAAUUUCUGGUUUUUAAAUUAAGAGGGAUAAUUUAUACUGCCAUAAUAGUUUAGGGGAAAUUCGGACUUUUUUAUUUUAGGGGAGGUUUGGGGCGUUUAACUAAAAGUUAUUAAUAUUGUUUCUUGGAGCUAGAUAUUUAUUAACUUUACGAGGAAGGGAAUUCGCAACAGCACCAUGAAUAAGGUGGUUGUGGCGUGAAUGGAGAUUGGCAGAUAAGACAUGGGCGGGCAUGAAAAUGACAUGGGACGACACUGAUCUGACAAACCUCUCUUCACGGCAACUACGAACAUUAAGGUUGGCGAUGUGGAUUAAGGGUGUGUUCGGCAGUGAAAGCUGUUUCGUGUAAAAUUUAUCAAAAAUUUAAAUUAUUUUUUAAAUUUAUUUGAAUUUAAGGAGGUUACAGCGGUUUUUCUAUUACCCUACCCCUGCGGUAAGGCCGGUAUACGGACGGUAAUGUAAACCAUGUUUGGCACCCCUAGUUCCCAACCCCUUUCGUUCAUUUUCCGCGCGCACGCUUUUCAAACUGCUAAAUGGUAUGUUUUUUAAAAAGUCUCUAUACAAAAGUUGCUUAAAAAAUCAAAUUAAUCUAUUUUUUUAAAAAAUAGCUAAUACUUAAUUAAUCAUGCGCUAAUGGAUCGCUCUAUUUUCCGUACACACUAUUUAUGUUGGGAGCAAGGGGUGCCAAACACACUCUAAGACAAGAAUUUGGGACUUGGCGUGGCUGCAUGGAUAUUUCUAUAUUUGACCAUUAAUCUCUAUAUAUUCGUACAGUUUGUUUUAGAUUUAUAAUUUAUAUUUAUCAUAAGAAAUAUAUUUCUAUUAUAUAAGAGUAAAUUUUACAAAACUAUAGGUAUUUUGCACAAUUUAUCACGAAACUACAAGUUUAAGAGUUUAUUUCACAAAACUACAGAUUUAGUGUCUCCGUUUAUCACAAAACUAGAUGUACUUUGUACAAUCUAUCAUAAUAUUAUAGAUUUAAGAACUUGUUUCACAGAACUAUAGAUUCAGUGUAUUUAUUUAUCACAGAACUACACAUAUAGUGUCUUCAUUGCUAAAACCUGUAGUAGUUUUGUGAUGAUGGAGAUAUUAAAUCUGUAGUUUUGUGAAACAAGUUCUUAAAUAUGUAGUUUUGUGAUAUAUUAUGCCAAGUACAUGUAGUUUUGUAAUAAACGAAGACACUAAAUCUGUGGUUUUGUGAAACAAAUUCUUAAAUAUGUAGUUUUGUGAUAAAUCGUGUAAAGUAUAUGUAGUUUAUGAAAUUUACUCUAAUUUAUUUGUAAUUAAAUUGUACUGAUUUCGAAAAAUUAAUGGUUAGGCCAAACUAAAAUGAUAAGUAAUUUAAAUGGGGGCAUUACUAGAUCCGAUGGUAUGUUGUUUGAAGUUGUAUUAAAUAUUUGGCUGGCAUUACUAGGUUUAUAGAGUUUAAUGUAAUUGCUGCAAUUGUUUAUAUUAAAGGAUGGCGUGCUACUAGAUACUCCGUAGUAGGUUUUUUUUUUUUGACCGGGUACUCCGUAGUAGGUAUUCUGCACUUUACUAUCUUUGUGGAGAUUUAAUUUGUGGGGUUUAGGUUUCUUGGAGACAAAUAUUAAUUAACUUUAUGAAGAAGUUAACUAAUGUUCAUCAAGUUAAUGCUUAGCUCGAAAGGGAACUGUCACGUGUAGCAUAAGCUCACUGUAGCUACAACUACAAGAUAGUCGUACUAGCUUCCAGUAAUAUAGUACACUAGUAGUACAUGUUGCUGGUACAACUCCUGAGCCAAAACAAGCCAAGUAAUUAGGCUGUGUUUAGUUGACGUCAAAAUUGGAAGUUUGUGUGUAGGAAAGUUUUGAUGUGAUGGAAAAGUUGGAAGUUUGAAAAAAAAAACUUUAGAUCUAAAGACAGCCUUAAUCCCCUUGCCGUAUUGCAGCAGCCAAGUAUUUUUUUUACGGAGGGAGUAUAUCUACAAUGUAUAAACUUUCAGGGCCUCUAAAUCGAAGGAUUGAGAAAAGGGAGGAAUAUGAAAAACAUAAUUUUUUUUGAUAGGAAUUCUAUAAAAAUUAGAGGAUUGUAAAACGUAGAAAAAAUAUAUGAAUGAUCAUUUAAUUGAACCAUCGGAAAAUCGUAGGAAUUAGAUAAGAGAGAUAGGCUUAUAAUAAACUUUCCAUGAGUUUGGACCUCAUGUUAAAAUUCUCCAAAACUCGUAUGGAUUGAGACAUUUCUUAGAAAUUUUACAGUAUUUAAUAGUUUUCAAUCCUUUGUUUCAAAGGGUCAUGUAGGAAAAAGUUUUAUAGGAUUAGAAUCCUAUAAAAUUUCUAUAAUUUCCCUUCAAAACAAAUGGACCCUUACUAUCAUACGUACUUCACUUGUGUAGCUAGAGGAAGGGCAUGUUUGACUCUCCAGCUCCUAUAGCUCCACUUCUAUUGGAGCUGGAGCUCAGUCAAACAUUUUCAGCUCCACCUAAAAUAAGAGUAUAGCCGGAUAAAGCGCUCUCACAAAAUAAACUAAAGAGGUGGAGCUAUGUUAGGCUAUUUCACAACAUCACCCCAAAUCCAAAUUCUGGAGUUAAAUUUUAAAGUUGGAGCUCUACCAAACGGGUCCGAAAGCAAUGUUGGAGUAGAAGUCAAUGUUGAUUCGUAAUAGCGGAAGCUCACAUCACUCUCGCCAUUGCCGUAUGCAGAUUCCUGGGUUCUGGGGCAGCCAGACUAAGGUUUUGUGUUUGCUCCAGAAUUAAGGCCCUGUUUAGUUGGCAAAAAAAAAUUUAGCCUUGGCGUGUCACAUCGGAUAUAUGGACAUACAUUUGAAGUAUUAAACAUAGUCUAAUAACAAAACAAAUUACAGAUUUCACACGUAAACUGCGAGACGAAUUUAUUAAGCUUAAUUAAUCCAUCAUUAGGAAAUAUUUACUAUAGCGCCACAUUGUCAAAUCAUGACGCAAUUAGGCUUAAAAGAUUUGUCUCACAAUUUACACGCAAUAUGUAUAAUUGGUUUUUUUUCUACAUUUAAUACUCCGUGCAUGUGUCAAACAUUUGAUGUGACAGUAUAAAAGUUUUCGCAUGAAAACUAAACAGGGCCUUAGGCUUUAAGAGUAUGUGAUGAUUAACCAAGCUCCUUGGAACAUAUUCCUCCCAGCCAUCCCCAUGACAAAGAAUAUUCUGUCCACCAAUAAUUCUAUAAAAGUCUCGUAUGCAUGGUAGCUAAAAAGGAAACCAAACAAUUAACUGCCCCAUCAGUUCUAAAAUAUAACAACUUCUUCAAUUAAUUUUUUAUCCAAAAUAUAGCAACCUAGUAAAUGUAAUAGUUGAUUUUUAACAUCUUUUCUUAAUACUUGUGCCGAAUGCUAAAAAUUGAUAGAUUUUAAGAUGGGAGGAGUAUCUAGUUUGUGCAGCAAACACCCAUCAACAAUCAAACAUAAUUUUACAUCCUUAAGUAUCAAAAACUGGUAAGAAGAAAAAAAAACCCUAGUGCAAUACAACCUCACUUAUACUAAGUGGUUUUCAUGAUUUGACAUCCAAAUAUACGUGUUUUACUUGCAUUUAACUACUCAUCAAUUGUAAAAAGAACACCUUUUGAAUUUCAGAAUCAUAAAAAGCACGAUAUGAAACAAGUUUGUAUUCUAUAUUAUAUUAUCUACUUGUAUUAGAAUGUAUAUAAACGCAUUAGUGAUUUAUAUGCUUCAUUUUAUAGCUAUAUAAAUAAUGUGAAAACUUAGUUAGAACCACAUGCUACAUAGGAUCCUGCCCUCAAAUAUCCUCGAGUAUUCACAUCAUUCCAUAUGAUUGUCAAGGGACGUAAAAUAUCUAGUUUUAUAGUUGAUAAAUUUUUUUAAUAAAUAGAGAGGUGUAAUAGGGAUUUAUCCCACACGAAGAAAUACAAAAGUGGUCCUGCAAAGCGCUCUUUUAAAUGAAGGGUGUUUUUUACUUCACGCCAAAAUUGAAAGUUUGAUUGAAAUUAGAACAAUGUGACGAAAAAGUUGGAAUUUUGGCCGUGUUUAGUUCCCCCAAAUUCCCAACUUUCCAUUCCAUCACAUCAUAUCGAAAACUUUCCUACACACAUAAACUACCAAUUUUUUCUCCAAACUACCAACUUUCUCCUAACUUCCCAACUUUUCCACCAUCUAAACACAACCUUUAUAUGUGUAGGAAAGUUUUGAUGUGAUGAAAAUGUUAAAAGUUUUAAAAAAAAAGUUAGGAACUAAAGCAGGACGAAAGCAAACGGAACCGAAUACUUCUAUCCGCACAAUGCAGCUUUUGAUCCUUUCAGAAAAAAAAUGCGUGUUCCUUUUGACAUGUUUGGUACCGGCCAGUGACAGCUUCUUCUAGACGGCGUUUCAGCACAGGAAGCUUUUGAGAAAAUUAAAAAAAAAUUAGAGAAGGCUGAACAAUUGGAGAAGGGCAAGAGGCCAGUGGCAUAUUUAUUUGUUUGGAGGGAAAAAAAAGGAAAGGAAAAGUACAUGAACAAAUGAAAUGUCUUCAGAAACAAAAACAAUGAACAACUGAAAUGAUCAACUGGGCUGUUUGCCUGUUGGUAGGUUAUGGCGUUUGGUGUGAGACGCUGAUGGCUAACAACGUCAAACCCCAAAUGGACCGAUGAAACAGUAGUGAACAAGGUUCCCCACUCGCGUCUUCUGUUGAAAACGAUGUUCUUCUCUGUUGUAGCUGCACUUUUUUUUUUACCCUAUGUGAGUGACUGGAAAUAUUGCAUGAGAAGAUUCCAAAUAUUGGUUUUGUGUGGAAUUACAGGGGUGUAUCUGCAGGCUGCGAUAUUUUACUGGAAAAAAAUAUCUAAAGCCAUUUUUUUUGAUAUUUCGAACCAUUUAAUUGACUGAAACAAAAUGUACAUUUAGUCAUAUGCUCUCUACUAAACGUGCAUUAGGAUGCUAGGGAUGUUCUUUUUUUAAACGGUGGGAGUAAAAUGUAUAUAUAGGUUGACUUUAACUGAUUGACCUUAAACAUAGAGUUGCCAUAGGCUGUGUUCGGCAUUCCCUCUUCCCAACCCCUCUCCCUCGUUUUCCACGCACACGCUUUUAAAACGGCUAAACGGUGCAUUUUUUAAAAAAAGUUUCUAUACGAGAGUUGCUUAAAAAAUCAAAUUAAUUAAUUUUUUAAAAAAUAGCUAAUACUUAAUUAAUCACGCGCUAAUGGAACGCUCCGUUUUUCGUACAGACGGUUCUAGCUGGGAACCAGGAAUAGCGAACACAUCCAUAGUCUCUAAAUCUCCACGUAGCCCUUUCUGAAUAAAAUAAAGACCACAAAACGAUCAUCAAAUUUUACGCUUGUUAUCUACUUGUAUUAGAAUGGAUAUAGAUGCAUUAGUGAUUUAUAUGCUUCAUUUUAUAGCUAUAUAAAUAAUGUGAAAACUUAGUUAGAACCACAUACUACAUAGGAUCCUGCCCCCAAAUAUCCUCGAGUACAUUGGAAACCUACCACCACCACUGGCAAUUAACAAUUCCUCUAUUCACCACUAACCAAUUGCUAACCGAGUGCCAAAAUCCACCCCAAGACCUUCUUCAGUGCAACAGAUAAUCAUAGAAGAGAGAGAAGAAAGAUAAGGAUUAGCAGUAACACUAGAAUAAAUUUAAGCAUCAGGGCCUAAAAAAUGCACCAUGAAAAGAGAGAAAAGGUGGGAAAGAAAGCAAGCACAAAAAGAAAAUAAAUAUAGAUUGAGUAACAAACAAGCCAAAGCUAAAGUCUUUCUUCUCUCUCCUAUGCCUACCCCCUUGCUAAUCCCCUCUCUCUCCUUAUUUGUGUGCCUUCCAAGUGCAACCCUAACAAGUCUCCUACUUAAAAAAAGAAAAAAAUAUAUCGUUUUGCUAAUUUACUUUUGUCAUUCUUAUUUUUGGGAUUGCUAAAUUCUCCUCCUCUAGGAGUACACUAGUACAGUACUUGGAUAUCCCAAAAACUUUUUUUUAUAUUUAUUUGUAGUUGGAUAUCCCAAAAACUAUUUUUUUAAUAUAUAUUUAUUUAAGGCAGGGGAGGGGAGGAGAAAAGGAAAAGAGGGAGAAGUAAUUAAGCAACAGUGAGGCCGGAGCUAUCUAUCUAUCCAUCUAUCUAUCAUCUACUAUCCUUCCUCUCUUUCCUCCUCCUCCUCGCGCAGCCGCGCUCAGAUCCAAAGCCGCGCGCGGGGGAGGGAGGGAGGAAUCGCGGUGCCAAGAAACGAAGCCCUAGCCCCCCCUAGAUGCGCGCCGCCGCUUGCUGCUGCUGCUGCUGCUAGGGUUCUUGUACGGAGAUGCGGGGCGUCGAGUCGGAUGGCGGCGGCGGCGCGCCUUUCUCCUCCUCCUCCUCCGCGGCCGCUCCAGGUGAGGCUUUUUUUUUUCUUGAGGCUUCUUGAUCUGGUAGCUGCUGCUGCUGCGAGUAGUUUGGGGUGCUGUGUUGGCGUUGAAUUUGGUUUGCGGGAAAAGUCGGCGCCUUGAUCUGUUUUGCUGUCUCUUCCCGAUGCGAAUCGUUGGGUUAUCGACGGAGAAUUGCUCGAAUUCCAACUAGGAAAGGAUGUCUGUUGGUUUUCUUUUUUUGUUGGCUUGAUUGGUGUUUCGUGAUGUUCUUGCUGUUGUUCUUUGUUCUCGGUUGUAAUUUUGGGGGUAAAAGAUGUGGGUUUUUACUGCGUACGAUUAGUAUGAUCUGCGCCAUCUGACGCUUUUUUCUCGAUGCAGAUAAUUUCGAUGCCGCGCAGUACUCCUUCUUCGGGAAGGAGCCACUGGAGGGGCUCGAGCUCAGUUGCUUGGAGGAUGGCGGCGGCGGCGGUGGUGAUGCCAAUGGCGGUGGAUUCAGUGGAGGAGCAGAAGAAGGGCUGUACCGGCUCUCCUCUGUUGGAGAAGAGGUGCGAGGAUUCAGGAGCCUUCAUGCCCAUAGAUUGCCGUCUUUGUUGUGAACUAUCGUCGUGCUAUUCGUUUGUGUUCUUGGGUUCACAUGCAUGCUUUAGCUCUUUUUCUCGAUAACACAGUCCUUUCGGCAUGGCGGCAAGCGAUAGUGGAGGCUUAGUGCUAGGAGGAAUCAAGAAUAAAUGUCCAUGUGGGCCUCUAGGGUCUUACUAGUGGAGCUGAGGUUCACAUCAGUAGUGUCCGGGAAGUGGCUAUGUUGGAAUGUUUUUGUGCUUCAAUUAUAGGCAGAUCGAUGUGUGUUGAAUGACGGUGUUUAUCAGUUGUUUGAUAGCUAAAAGGUUCCAUUGCAACGGUAGAAUUUCAUGAGACACGGAUGGAAGACGAAUCUUUGCUGCGACCAUCCUGUUGCUACAUGUAGAGUUGAGAAUCACUAGAACAGUGCAUGCUUCUUUUGAUAAUUGAUAGUGACUAUGAAUGUUUCAUCAGGAUAUGACAGUGAAAUCGAUAAUGUUCAAGGUAGCCUUUUGGCUGCUUCGUCAAAAGCCUAUUCUUUGCUUGUUUAAGUCCAAUUAUAAUUCCUUUUGAUAGUUCAUCAAGCUAUAGCUGUAUAGCUUCUGGCUAUGGAAUCUUUGGUUUGGUUAGUUUUCUAGCACACUUUUCCUUGUGUUGCUUGGCCCAAUGCUCAUUUGCUCUGGAACUCAAAGAGAACUAUUACUGCAUUUUGGGAUCAAUAGCAUAAUUGGGCAAAAACCAUAUAAUCUAGUUCGUUACAAAAUGCUGCACUGCUUCAACUGUUGGCUGUAUUGCCAUUUCUUAAAUGCUUGAGUUGCUCUCGCAUUCUCUGCUGCAUUGUUGAUAGAUUGCAUUGCCAAUGAUUACUAUUUAGCAGACUUAAAAUUUUCUUGAGGAUCAAAUGAUGGUUUUUAUUGUCCAUGUCAUGUCAUGUAAGCCUAAGCUUACAGGUUAACACUUCUAGCUUUGAGCAAUUGCAAUUUAUAACUUUUAUAUUUUUGUUGGUUGGAUUAAAAGGUUUUUGGGGGGUUGAAUUGAAAUAGUUAAUGUGCUUGUCUAAAUAGCCAAUUGGAGUUUAUUGUGAUGGGCAAAAUUUAUGUUUAAUAUUACAUUGCAAUUGGCCAUCAAUCUUUGAACUGCUCAGGCUCUACAAGGAGUUAUGGAUGCAUGCAUGUUUGAGCACCCUGCAUUCUAUACAUGCCCUUUUUUUUUUAAUUUUGUAGCACUUUCAAUUUCUACUUCCCUCCUUAGAUUAUAGAUUUACUAUCAUUUUCAGUGUUGUGGAGUUAUUCUGAUUCAAUUUACUAUGUUCUGCAGAUUGAUAAUCUGAGUAACUUGUCCGAUAUUGAUGAUCUUGCGAGCACUUUUGCAAAGGUUUGUUUCACAAGCUCCACUGUUUUAAAUUGAGGUUCCAUUAUUAAAAAAAAAUGCUUUUGCAGUAACCCUUGGAAGUAUUAGAUAUGUUAAGGAUACUUAUGCUUUACCAUUGUUGGCUAAGUGGUUACUCUAAUUCUUCCGUAAUCCAUUCUCGUAUCAAGAAAUGUUUUCCCCAGAAAGGUUGCAUCUUCAGGCUGCAUGUCACUAAUCCCCCCACCUUCCACCCCACAAGGCUAAGCUAACUUAAACAUCAAGUGCACAUUUUAUUCAUUUGUAGUUGUAGCUAUCUGCCUAUUUCCACUACAACUAGUCCUGCCUGCUGCCAAGCAUGUACGGGAUAAAUGACACAUGGUUAGUCAAGUCCUUUGGCUGAAUCUAGCUUCUUCUGGCAUUGCAAUAAUCUGUUUUGCAAUCUGCAAGUAUUUUGCCGCAUCUAAGGCCCAAUUGUACAUAGAAGAUCUAGAUACAUCUGUAAUGUCUGAAGUUGUUUUGGAUUGAUUAGCUUGGCUGUUGUUCUUUUUCUAAGGAUAUUUUAUAUCAUAUUGCUUAGUUGAAGCCCAUGCAACCAAUGGAUUAGGAAUUCAGGAUAAUCACUAAUGAGGCCUCAACUUUUAUCUAUACCUGACAAAUUGCUUGCAUAUGGAACCGUAACUUCAUAAUAUUUUGUUCUAGCCUUAAAAACUUAUGUUUUUGUUGUAUGCGUUCGUUCUGCUGUCGCACACUGAUUUAUUUAUAUCUUUUAAUGUCAGUUGAACCGAACCAUUAGUGGAACACGGAAUCCUGGUGUUAUUGGUGACAGACGAUCCAUCUCAAGAGGAAGUAAGUCAAUCUUUGUGUCCCAAUACAAAACUAGUCGUGAUGAGUGUUAUGGAGUUUGUUUUGUGUAUAUCCUUAUAAAAUGUGAUGCCCAAUCUUUGUUUUUAAAAGAUUGUUGACUAAAAAUGUUAACAUAUGCAUAAUCUUUUGUGCAUGUAGUUCCUUUUUUAAAUAUGUUGAAGUCGGCCAUUUUGCGUUUCACUGCUAAUUGCUGGUAUAAUUUUGACUUGCUAUACACAGUUGUGGAUUUGUAUCACUCAUGUCAAUAGACUAUUGUAAAAAAAAAAAGAGAAGAGAAUUGUACAAAACUAUUUUCACCAAGAGAAAUAUGGCAGCUUUUGUAUGCAUCUUUGUUGAAAGCUAUAUAUAAUCUCACUUAUGAAAUGCUUCCAUUCUGCAUUACUGCACAUGUUUCCAAAACUUUAAUGCCAUCAAUAUCGACCAGAAGAAGGCUAUUUUGUGUCUAUUACACCCUUUUGUUGAAAAACAACUAUUCUUUUGGAACUCUGGGAUGUAGCCAAAGUCAAAUUAAUGCCUGAAGGCUCAACUUGUUACUGAACUAUGUAAAUGCCCUUUUCAGGUUCUCUAACUGUUGAUUGGGCUGAAGAUGUAGAAUUUCCUAACUGGGUAGAUCAAGACAUUUUAGAGGAUGAGGAAUUUCAGGAAAGUAAAAGAUGGUGGUCACAGUCACACACUCUGGUGCAGCAAGGGGAUGCCAAACCAUUGAGCCGAACAUCUUCCUAUCCUCAGCAACCACUGCAGCACCGGGCAAGUGAACCUAUCAUUCCACCAAAAUCUCCUUCAUUUACGUCCUUUCCACCGCCAGGUGGUAGAUCACCUUAUACUUCUCAAGGCCUUACACGCCAUGGGAGCAUUCCAUCACUUGGUGCUGGCCUGCAAAUGGGUUCUCCAAGCAUGUCCCUUCCAAGUUCUCCAUAUCAUAUAGCUGGACUAUCUCAUGGACUACCGUAUGGAGGGAGCAUGUCCUUCGGCACUUCAAAUCUGCCUGUAAACAAUCCAAUGCAAAAUGAUUGGCCAAGCCAAGCCAAUCUUUAUGCUGGGGAGCAAUUUAAUCUACUGCCGAACAUGUUACAGAAACAAAUAUCACUUCCAAAUAGCCCGAUGUCAUCACUGUUAUUUUCUCAACAGCAGCAGAGAUUGGCACAAGUUCAAGUCCAACCAUCCCAUCAGAAUUACCUAAAUUUACCACCUCACAUAUUUUACCAACAUCACUCCCCAGAAUUAACAGGAAGAUUUGAUUCUGUUAGCAGUGUUCCUUCAUCAAGAGACAAGAGAUCAAGGUCAGGAAGAGGAAAACACAACAUACGUUUUUCUCAACCAUUGCCUGAUACUGGUAAUCAAAAUGGUGAUAGUGGAGGAAUAAAAUUCAGAUCUAAGUACAUGUCAUCUGAAGAGAUCGAAUCUAUCUUAAGAAUGCAACAUUCAGCAAGUCACAGCAGUGAUCCUUAUGUGGUUGAUUAUUACCACCAAGCUUGCAUCGCGAAAAGGGGUGCCAAUUCUAGGCCAAAGGCCAAUUUUGCCCCAACGUCAAUGAAAGACUUGCCUUCCAAGUCCCGAUCCAGUGGUGACCAUCAUGCAUAUCUUCAGGUUGAUGCUGUAGGAAGAGUUUCCUUCUCUUCCAUACGUAGGCCUCGUUCUCUUCUUGAAGUUGACCUUCCUUCAUCAAGUGAUGGUUCUCAUGAUCAGAAGUCUUCUCUGAGACCAUUGGAGAAAGAACCAAUGCUGGCCGCUAGAGUCACUGUUGAAGAUGCCCUCUGCCUUCUUCUUGAGGUGGAUGAUAUUGACCGUCUGUUGCAGUCUAGUCAGGCACAGGAUAACAGUUUCCAACUGAGGCGAAGACGGCAGGUCCUCCUUGAAGGUUUAGCUGCAUCACUUCAGCUUGUUGACCCUCUCGGGCCGAGCACAUCAAGCCAUUCAUCUGGAUUGGCUGCUAAGGAUGAUCUUGUUUUUCUUCGCAUUGUUUCUCUUCCUAAAGGACGCAAGUUUUUGUCACGUUACCUUCGACUUCUUACCCCUGGAAGUGAGUUGACCCGUAUAGUAUGCAUGGCUAUUUUUCGACAUCUGAGGUACUUGUUCGGGGGUUUACCAUCAGAUUCUAGUGCAGCAGAAACAACAGUUACUCUUGCAAAGACUCUUUCAUCUUGUGUGCGCCAUAUGGAACUAGGUGCUCUUAGUGCUUGCCUUGCUGCUGUGGUCUGUUCACCUGAGCAGCCACCUCUGCGUCCUCUAGCUAGCUCUGCUGGUGAUGGGGCUUCUCUUAUUAUUAAAUCAGUACUGGAUCGAGCAACUGAGUUACUGACUGACCAGCAUGCCGCAGCCAGCUAUACAGUGUCAAACCGGACUCUCUGGCAGGCAUCAUUUGAUGCUUUCUUUGGACUUCUGACAAAAUACUGUCUCAGCAAGUAUGAAAGUAUUAGGCAGAUGUUUACCAUGCAGUCACCAGGCUCUGUAAUUGGAUCUGAGGUCUCCAAAGCAACCAGCAGGGAGAUGCCGGUUGAGUUGCUACGUGCAAGCCUCCCUCAUACAAAUGAUCAGCAACGCCAGCUGCUGCUUGAUUUUGCUCAGCGAACCAUGCCAGUGACUGGUUUUAAUGCCAGCGGUGCAAAUGGUGGGCACAUCACCUCCGAGUCUGUUCCUGGUUGAUUUAGCUCAAGAUGCCAAAAAGUGUAGAUUGUCAAUGCUUAAAGGACUUAAAUGUGCUUGUCUUUGGAUGAUAAUUCUUUUAUAUCUGGAGACAUGCAUAACCCCUUCAUAAGGUAAGGUUGUGUGAGCUUGGAGAAAGUUCCAUUUGCUCAGGAAAAAAUAGCCUUCAGAUUGUGACUUUAGGCUUCAGAUUAAUCUCAUAGACCAACAAUCUCCUUUCUGUGGGUCAUUUAUAUAGCACCCACCUGAUAUGCAUAUGUACAUGCACUGUUGUAACACUAUGCAGGGAUGAACUAGCCGUCUCGUUGGGGCGAAUUUUAGCUUUUAACAUAACAUUCAUAUGCUCCCAGUGAAGAAGACAUCCAAGACUAGUGGGUUUAGCAGCAGUGGUUGUACAGGCUCUGGUACUUUGAGGCCUUCCUGUCUGUCUUUUUACUAGUGUGGAAGGUUCCUAGCGUCAAGUGCGUAGUAGUCUGGUCUUAUCAUGUUUUAAUUAGGAUCAAAAGUGUGUUGGGGAUAAUGAAGUGGUGAUGUUUGUUAGGUUUCUGGAAAGAUAUUUAAAAUGUCAUGGAGAUGGCCAGUGUUUCCAGGUACCUACUGACACUAUAGUGAGGAUACUGGAAACUGGGGCUAUAUUAUCUCUUAUUUAUACAUGGUUACAAUUUGUUGUCAUUUUAUUUCUUGCCUCCAGGUUACUCUUUGCUCAAAAACAUUUUUUUAGGGGGAAACUCUGGUUGCAUCAUAUACUUUUUACCAGGAUUAAGGCUGCCUGCCUUUGUUGUAAGUUUGUGUACAGUAGUUAUUAGUUGCAGCCUUAAACUGGAUCAUUUGAAUGAAGUAGUUGCAGUUAACCUCGUGUGAUGGUUAGAUGUAUCAGUAAUUCUGCAUGAAACCCUGAGCAAAUGUUAGCCUCUUCUGGAUUGGACGAAUUCAUGGAAAUUUUAUGGAAAUUAAGCUGUACAUUAUGCGAUUCUUGCAUUCGGAAGAAGCCAAUAUCAAUGUGUGACAACAGUUCUCGGUUUAUGAAGUUAUGUUAUUUACACGGUAACAUCGUUGAGUCUUAACAAUCCAUACCAGCAAAAAAAAAAAAGUGCCCCCUCCCCCAAUCAAUUUUCUACUAUUCCAUACGUUCCAAAACUCCAAAAUAUAGUUGCUUCUGGCAUCAUUAGUAUACUACAACCAUAUUUUAGCAAUUGAGAUCUCCUGCAGUACUGCAGAUAACCUGCAUCUAAAUUACUUAACUACAACCAUCCAUAAUUUAAUUUCUUCACAUAUUUUUCUCAACUAAUAAAAAUAUCUCUUAUUUAAUUUUCUUACCUACUUUCUUAUCUUAACCGUGAGUCACCUAAUCAUUUAAUUUUACCUUGUCUUUAAUCACCAUGAAAAACUCAAGUUCCUAUAUUUUGGAUAGAGAGAGCAUUUGUUACUUUGACAGGUCCCCCCUACAGCCAAAUGACCACACCAGCUUGCUUUCCUUGCUUUCCUUUUCUUUGUCUAGCGACAGGUUUUCAUCAAAAUAUGUGUAAUCAUUUUCUUUUCUUGUUUUGAUUUUCGAGAAGGCACAAACUAGAUCCACCGAAAUUAAGGCGAUGGAUGAAACGAACAGUUCCAAAUGUUGAGGGAUGAAAAUCAAACAGUUCAACAGUUGAGGGACAAAAAUUGUUUAAGGAUAAUAUGGACUUCUAUUCGAAUUGAGAUGCCCAUGGGAUGGUGGCACAAACUUUUGCUUUCACCAAGUAGUGUACGUAUCUUGUGGGCUGCUGUGCAGAUCGAAGCCUAGCAGUAACAAGGUUGUGCAUGAGGUAUUUGGGCUGAUCCCAUAGAAAACAAGAGCCUUGACUCCAGUCCAAUGUUCCAUUUUGCACCGAGUUGUGCUGGAUUGGCACCGAGACUUAUUAUACUCCGAAACUUAUUUUUCCACCUAACUACCCUUCUCAAAAAUACAAAUUUCUCCUAUUUAAGUUUUAAUAUUUUCUUAAUACCCAUAUCUAAGUCCGAAACUUCAAAUAUACUGAGACGAGAACAGUAGUUGUUUGAUCGUUUUCACGUUUACAAAUCAUGAUUUUUCCUAAGGAGCGGAUGGGGACGAUUCUGGCCGGAGUCUGAAAACCCGAUGAAACAGCACAGUACGGUGCGAGGCUCUGAGCGAGGAGGUGAGCUUCUUAGCGGAUGCAAAAGAUUAUUUUGCAGUACUGCUAAUACAGUAAAAAUGGUUGACAUAUAGGUCCAAACUCAUAUGUUAAUAUUUGCUACUGCAUCGGCAGUACUAUAAACAAUCCCCACUAAUUUUUGUUACCUUGCGCUGUUGCACACGCCACCCCUCCUCCUCUCCAUUAAAUACUUCAGAUACACGCAACACACACAGGAAGGCACACCGGAUAUCCUUCCUCCAAUGAUCCUUAUCCUGUUGUCCUUCCUUUGAGGUGGAGCACAGCAACAGCAUUAUUGAUCCCGUAAUUGAUUACGUCCUGGAUUCUGUAUGCUCAUCAUCCUACUACUGAGCAGGUAUAAUAGCACACUAUAAGCCAGCUAUAAAUAUAUUUUAAAUAGAUAAAAGAAUAGAGAAGAACAGCGGGCUAAAGAUAUAUAGCCAGCUACAGCACGAACUUCAAGAUGUAAUAUGUGUAUGACAGGUGGGACCAGAUAUUAAUAGUAUAGUAAGCAACUACUUGUAUGAAUUAACUAUUACAUUGACUAUAGAUGAUUUGGAGCUAGUAGUUGGCGAAAUUCCUGACGAGCGUUCAGUCGCUGCCAGCGAUCGUUUUUUUCUUUUUUUUUUCUUUUCUUCUUUUAGUAAGUUUAUACCCCUAAAGUUUACACAUCUAAAGUUUAUCUACCUAAAGUUUGUAAAACGAAUGUUAUAAGUCAAAAGUUUAUAUACCCGAUUUAAAUUCAAAUUCGAAUUCAAAUAUUUUAUAUUUUUCCUCUUUUAGUAAGUUUAUACACCUAAAGUUUAUACAUCUAAAGUUUAUCCACCUAAAGUUUGUAGAGUGAAUGUUUAGGGGCUAUUUAGUUCACGAACGAAAAUGUUUGGCGUGUCACAUUGGAUAUACGGACACACAUUUUAAGUAUUAAACGUAGACUAAUAACAAAACAAAUUACAGAUUCCGCCUGGAAACUGCGAGACAAAUUUAUUAACCUUAAUUAAUCCGUCAUUAGCAAAUGUUUACGAUAGCACUACAUUGUCAAAUCAUGGCGCAAUUAGGCUUAAAAGAUUCGCCUCGUAAUUUACACGUAAUCUGUGUAAUUAGUUUUUUUUAUCUAUAUUUAAUAUUCCAUGCAUGUGUCUAAGGUGGUGUUUGAAUCUCCUGAAGAUGAAGAUAAAUAUUAAAUGUUUCACGCAAAACGAGGUGGUAAUAACAUGUGACUAAUUUGGUUUUAAUUAUUACAAACUUGAAAAAUGGAUUAAUUUGAUAUUUUAGAACAACUUUCAUAUAAAAAAUUUUUACACGAAACGUAUCGUUUAGCACUUUGAAAAGCGUGCCACGACGGCGCCGGCUAUCCGCCAUCGUCCGCGAGGCCCGCGCCGCCCGCCGCCCCCUGCUGCUGCGGCGGCUCGCCGUGGCGCACCGGCUCGGGGCGGUCCCCGCGGGGGAGGCGAGCGUGUUCGUGGCGGCGUCCGCGGUGCACCGCGCCGACGCGAUGGAGGCGUGCCGCUACGUCAUCGACGAGUCAAGGCGUCCGUGCCCAUCUGGAAGAAGGAGGUGUACGACGACGGUGAGGUCUGGAAGGAGAACCGCGAGCUCCUCAACCGCACCACCACCGACGGCGCUGCCGCGGCGCCGGCGAGGGGCGCGCUUGCUGCGGCAGCAAGGUGAGAGUCAACGAGAGCUGAUGCCCAACCUCCCCCAAAAUACUGUAGAUUGUCAAUGCUUAAAUGUGCUUGUCUGCGGAUGGUAAUUCUUUUAUAUCUUGGAGACAUGCAUAACCCCUUCAAUAGAGCAAGUUUAAUAGCCCACUACUAGUUUCAAUUCAUCUAUAGCCGAUCUAAUAGCCAAUUCAUACAAUAGUUGCUUACUAUACUAUUAAUAUAUGGUCCCACCUGUCAUACACACAUUGUGUUUUAAAGUCCAUGCUGCAGGUGGCUAUAGAUCUGUAGUCCGCUACUCUUCUCUCUUAUUUUUUAUCUCAUUAAAAUAUGUUUAUAGCUGGCUAAUAGUCGGUUAUUAUACCGCUCUAAGGUUGUCGUGAGCUUGGAGAAAGUUCCAUUUGCUCAGGAAAAAUUAGCCUUCUUCAGAAUGUGACUUUAGGCUUCAGAUUAAUCUCAUAGACCAACAAUCUCCUUUCGGUGGGUCAUUUAUAUAGCACCCACCUGAUAUGCAUAUGUACAUGCACUGUUGUAACACUAUGUUGGGGCGAAUUUUAGCUUUUAACAUAACAUUCAUAUGCUCCCGGUGAAGAAGACAUCCAAGACUAGUGGGUUUAGCAGCAGUGGUUGUACAGGUUCUGGUACUUUGAGGUUACUAUAAAUGUUGGCUUAUUCUUUGCUCAAAAACAAUUUUUUAGGGGGGAACUCUGGUUGCAUCAUAUACUUUUUACCAGGAUAAAGGCUGCCUGCCUUUGUUGUAAGUUUGUGUACAGUAGUUAUUAGUUGCAGCCUUAAACUGGAUCAUUUGAAUGAAGUAGUUGCAGUUAACCUCGAGUGAUCAUUUGAAUGGAGGAAUUCGUGGGAUUUUUAUGGAAAUUAAGCUAUAUCAUGUGAUUCUUGCAUUCGAAAGAAGCCAAUAUCAAUUUUCAUGGCAGCAUUUUGAAUUUUGAGUCUUAACAGUCUAUAACAGCGAUCCCAUUUGCAAUGCAAAUGACUACUCCUAUUUGAUUUUCAGUAGGAUGAAAGUGGGCCCCGUCAAUUCUCUACUAGAUCCAUUCCAAAAUAUAGUUGCAUGGCAUGUUGAAAACCAAUCGUCUGGACAAGCAAAACGGUGUGGUUUAUUAGUGGCAAGCAAAAUGAAGUACUCAUUAGCACGUGAUUAAUUAAAUAUUAGCUCGAAAAUUUUAAAAAUAUCUACUAAUACACUUUUUAAAGAAACUUUUAUUUAAAAAACAUCGUUUAAUAGAUCAAGAGAUGUACACAUGAAAAAUGAGAUAGUGAAAGUUGAGAAAAAGAUAUAGAAUGGAACCUUACUUCACCUACAACCAUCCGUAAUUUAAUUUCUCCAUCUAUUCCUCAACUAAUUAUAACAUCUCUUAUUUAAUUUUCUUACCUACUAUUUUAUCUUAAUUGAUUAGUCACCUAAUCAUUUAAUUUUACCUUAUCUUUAAUCUCCAUGAAAGACUCAAGUUUUUAUCUUUUUUAAUGGAGUCAAGGAGAGAGUAUUUGUUACUUUGACCGGUUCUCCUACAGCCAAAUGACCACACCAGCUUACUUUCCUUUUCUUUGUUUAGCGAAAGAUUUGCAUCGAAAUAUGUGUAAUCCUUUUCUUAUUUUGAUUUUCCAGAAGGCCCAAAUACUAGAUCCACCAAAUUUAAGACGAUGGAUAAAAAAUAAACGAUUUUAAAAGUUAGGGGAUACCAAUCAAACAGUUCUACAGUUGAGGGACGGAAUGGUUUUGAGACCAUAAGAGCAUCCUCACCAAAUACUCCAUCCCAUCAUCCUGAAAAUGGCAUAUUGGAAAUGAAAGUCAGUCUCCAACAGAUACUCCAUCCGGGCAACCAAAAAUAGCUUGGGUGUUAUCCGAGCAGAAACCUCACGCCAUACCCCAAGUGUCGAGCUCCCAAUCAAACUCACGCCACCAUCCGGACUGCAUACCAUGAGGGGAGUAACAGUAGAGAGGAGCUGCAUACCGGAUUUGGUGGUGGAAAUUUGCCAGAGUGAAGACAGAGAAGCGCUGGAUCUGGUAGAGAGAUCGCUGGAGCACCCCGCCGCUCGUGCCAUGCCACUGCCUGCGCUAUCCGAAGCUUCUCUGCCCACAACUCCUGUCGUCCCCGCUACCCACACUCGCAUCGCCAUCCCAGCCGCUCGCAUCUCUCCGCUUGUGCCACCCAUCAUCCACUUGCACCUUUGGCCGUGUUGUCCGCUGUCUGCCAUUAGCCCUCCUCCUUCGUCCUUCCACUCAUCCUUCCCCUCUUCUGUCACUCUCCUGGCUAUUGGCAGGUACAGAGGAGAGAGGGAGAGAAAUAUGCUUGGAUAGAGUUAGUAUUAGGGUGAGUUCGCUGGUUCUGGUUCCCAUCAGCACAGUAAGCACGGAAAACGGAGCGAUCCAUUAGUGCAUGAUUAAUCAAGUAUUAGCUAGAUUUUUUUUAAAAUGGAUUAAUUUGAUUUUUUUCAAGCAACUUUCGUAUAGAAACUUUUUACAAAAAAACACACCGUUUAGCAGUUCGAAAAGAGUGUGAGCGGAAAACGAGAGGAGAGGAGUUGGGAAAAGGGAUAUCCGAACACACCCUUAGUUGUCUUAGAAUACAAUAAAUUUGGAUUUUUCAGCUAGGUUUACAAAUAUGGUUAUAAAAAAUAAUACAAAUAUAUGGAUGGUCAGAAGAUAUUAACAACAUAUAGAAAAUUGUGAUAUGAAGGUAUAUGGAUGAUCUGUUGGAGUGAAGAGGAAUAUGCAGAGAGAAUCGUUUUCUAUAAUAAUCCAUAUAGGGAUAUGAAGAUUUAAAUUUGGAUGAGCUGCUGGAUGCUGUAAGAGAGACAACAUAGACUCCUUUCGAAUUGAGUUGCCCAUGGGAUGGUGGCACAAACUUUGCUUUCACCCUGUAGUGUAUCUCGUGGGCUGCAGUGUAGAUCGAAGCCAGAUCCACCGAAAACAAAGCCCAGCAGUAACAAGGCUGUGCAUCAAGUUUUUGGGCUGAUACCAUAGGAAACAAGAGCCUUCUACACUGAAUUUUUUUCAUUUUUAAAUUUUUAUUUUUUAAUAUUUACAAAAAUAUUAUACCGACGAAAAUAUUUAUAUAGACCCGGCCGCCCAAGUAGAGGGCAUCAAGGUGACGUGGCACAUGGCGCCGUGUGCAUAUUUUGCGUUGAGGUCCCUUGCCGGCAAGGGGGUAAAUGUAAUUUUCGCCGCAUGCAAAAUUCGCAUGUCCGCUCAGUGGCCUCUAGCAUCUGGUCACACAAGUCACCCUGCCCGAGGGCGACAGUGUCUAUUUUUUAAAUAUUUUUGCCGGUAUAAUAUUUCUAUAAAUAUUAAAAAUAUAAAUUUAAAAAUGAAAAAAAUUCCCUACACCGGGUCCAGUCCAGUCGUGAGGACAAAAGAUUUGGGCUAUUUGAAAAAAAACAUAGAAAUAGGAAUAACUUCUAUUCCGGGGAGGGCGGCAGAGUCUAUUUUUUAAAUAUUUUUGCCGGUAUAAUAUUUCUAUAUGUAUUAAAAAAUAUAAAUUUAAAAAUGAAAAAAUUCCCUACACUGGGUCCAGUCCAAUUGUGCAGACAAAAGAUUUGGACUCUGUGAAAAAAAAAACAGAUAAAUAGGAAUAACUUCUACUCCCUCCAAAAUAGACCCAGAAAAUAUCCCAUUAUAUUUUAGAACAAAAAUAGAACUAGUUUGGAAAAUGUGUUCACAGAGAACGAUGAAAUAGCUGUUGUGAAAAGCUAUAUAGAAUGCACCCUUACUACUUCUAGAGUUCUUAAUUUAUACCGAAAAUAUUAUGACAUAUAGCAUUCAAAAUUUAUUUUAAAAUAUAAUAACUUGUUCACCUAUAUUCUAUUCUCAACCAAUCAUAACCUUCGACCAUUUAAAUUCUUCACCUAUACUACUCUUUCGAAAACAUAAUCUUUUUUUAUGUUUAAUUUCACUUACUUUUUUAACACUACGAUCUAAUUCUUAAAACUUCUUACUCCUUGUAUAUUUUAGGAGGGAGGUAUUUGUUUGAUCAUUUUUACGUUUUACAAAUCAUAUUUUUCAUAAGCAGCGGGUGGGAAGGAUUUCGGCUAAGGGUGAAAAUGGUAUAAAAAUUUUCCGACCGUACCGAUACCGUUUCCGUAAAAUUAAUAGUGAUAAUAUAUUUACCGACGGUUCUUGUUGUCAAAAUUUAGUUUUUUUCAAUUUAUGUCAACGUGAUACCGAAGUUGAUACUAUAUAGUUCAAUUCAUAAAUAUGAAAAUUUUCCAACCAUUUCCACCUGCUUUUUUUUAAAAAAAACAAAAAAAACAAAAUAAAGGUAUCGUUUCCGACCGUUUUCAUCCGUACCGGCUAUUCGGUAAUUCCGGCCGGAGGGGCUCUGAAAACCGAUGAAACAGCACGUACGGUGCGAGGCCCUGACUUCUGAGCAAGGCUUUUGUAGCCUUGCGCUGUUGCACACGCCACCCCUCCUCCCCUCCAUUAAAUAAUGCACACACACACGCACGCGCACACAGGAUGACAGGAAGGCACACCGAUAUAUAACUCCUCCCUCCUAGUAUGAUCCUUAUCCUGUUGUCCUUCGUUUGGGGUGGAGCACAGCAACACAGCAUGAUUGAUCCCGUGAUUGAUUAGGCCCCGGAUUCUGUAUGCCCAUCAUCCCACUGCACAGCUUAAUGAUAGACUUAAUUAACAGAUUGUAUAAUUAGUUCCUUGCUGGAGAGGAGGCCAUAUAUUGGCUGGCACUCUCAAGACGGUAGGGGAAAAAGAAUAAAAUUCCUAAAUACUAACUCCAUAUUUUAACGUAUGAUAUCGUUGACUUUUCGUUUAACGUUUGACCAUUCGUCUUAUUUUAAAAAAAAUUAUGUAAUUGUUAUUUAUUUUAUUGUGACUUGAUUUAUUAUUAAAUGUUCUUUAGCAUGACAUAUAUUUUUAUAUUUGCACAAAAAAUUUGAAUAAAAUGAAUGGUCAAAAAAGUCAAUGGCAUCAUACAUUAAAAUACGGAGGGAAUAACAUUUAUGGCCUUAGGCACAUAUCGUGAUUAGUGAUAAAAUAAUAGUGUAUAGAUAAAACUUUUACAUAUAUGUUUUUAACGAUUUAAAAGAUAAUUAAAAAAACUUUGUUAAAAUCGUCAAAAUCAAAUUUAUAAAAUUUAAAAUUUAACGGUGGUUUAUAAGCUUUUGGUAAAGGAUGAGACCCUAUGUAGUAAAGUCAACCUUUUGGUAUAGGAGUAAAAACAGCUAGUCCGCUUAAGCCGAGAUUCGCGGGAAGGAUAGGCGAGAGCAAAUACAGUAUUACACCAAGUUAGUAUAUGAUGAAUUCGCUAAAAAUUACGAGGUUAGGAUACGUGAGGUUAUCAAUAUCAUGCACAUGCAGUAUCUAUACCCCGGUUCGACUGAAAAAAAAAUUGGGAUAUAACACAUGAAUGUCAAGAUGUGAGGAAAAAUAUGAGGUGAAAAUCACAUAUGCAGUGGACAAUGGACUUUCGAUAGAACAUAUGAAUGUCAAGAUGUGAGGGUAAAUAUGAGGUGAAAAUCACAUAUGUAGUGGACAAUGGACUUUCAAGAUUCAUCCACGUCAUUACAAGUAGAAAUUUUACUCACGGAUUUACUCAUGAGUAAAAAUUGUACUAUUUUUACUCAUGAUGAUAUAGAUGAAUCUCGAAUAUCUAUUUUUCGAUCUAACGUUAGUUUUCAAGUUUCACAAUAUUUAUUUCCACCACAUAUUUUCCUAACAUGUGACCGUGAUCUCACUUCUAUCUGGCACACAACUUAUUCAACCAUACUUUGCCACGGAGACGUGGCCGUACGAUGGUGCCACGUACGACGGCACAAGCAUUUCACUUCUCUACUAUUAUAAAAAUUGUACAACAGCACCAGCAUUUCUCUUCUCUACUAUUAUAAAAAUUGAAGAUAUUUUUUCCGGUACCUUGGUACGUUAUCUGUGUAUGAGUCGGUUUUAAGUUUGUUCACUUUUGGAAAUAUAUAUUUGUAUUUCAGUUGGUUUUUAAAUUCGUUCAUUUUGGGAAAUACAUGAAGAGUCGUAUAAGAAAUCUCUUUAAAAAAAGACUUACAUGCUAAUUUGAGAUGAUCAGACUCCUAAUUACAACUCAUGAUUUUUCUAGAAAAAUAUAUAUCCAAGUGAAUUCUCACAGUGAAACUAUUAUAAAAAUUGAAGAUGUUUUUACCGGUACUUUGGUACAUCAUCUAUGUAUGAGUCAGUUUUUAAGUUUGUUCGCUUUAGGAAAUAAAUAUCUAUUUUUAAGUCAGGUUUUGAGUUUGUUCGCUUUUGGAAAUACAGGAGCAGUCGUAUAAUAAAUCUCUUUAGAAAAACUUACAUGCUAACUUAAGAUGAUCGGACUCUUAAUUGCAGUUCAUGAUUUUCUAAAAAAAUAUAUCCAAGCGAAUUCUCACGGUGAAUUUCACCUUAACUAAACCGUAUAACAAUAAUGAAAUUAAAAUAGCCUUCCCCUGUUACAACGAACGGAUAAUUUUUCUAGUGAAUAAAAUAUUCCUUUAUAGAUUAACUACUUAAUUAUAUGAUAAAGUAAUAAAUUAAUAAAUAAACGUAACAAAUACUCAUUUUGUCCCGAAAUAUGGUUGCUUUCUGAUGUUAAUUUGGUUUUAAACUAUAGCUACUUCUUCGCCUCCUCUAUCACACUAUUAAAAAAGUAUUUAUGCAUGUGGUCAAAAUCUAUUUUUCCAUUCAGUUGGACUCUCAAUAUGCCUGAAGGCGUCUGUAAAAGUCACUAUUUUUCCAUGCGGGUGGAGCACAUGCACGCGAAAAUCCGUUUUUCGCGGGUGGGUGCUUAUGUCACCCGCUUGCGAAAAGAAAAAUCACGAAAAAAAAUCCCAAAAAUUGAAACCCGAAAGCCUAGCUAGCUCUUAGUCUGUCGUUGCUCGUUGUCACCACUGCCGUUGCCGAGGCCCCGUAGCUCGAGAUCCAUCGUCGUGGUCGUCCACCACCUUGCCGUCCCCACUCCUUUGCAGACAGGAGCGCUUAUGACCCACCUACAGUUUAAGUUUAAAAUGGGUUUCGUCCAGAAAAAUCAGUUCUCUCAACCUUUUGCUUUUGUAUGUUUUGUGUACAGUUGAUUAUAAGUUGUAAUGCUUGCUAGCAACCAAAUUUAAUUUGUGGGUGAAACUUUUAUUUAUGUAUAUGUGUGUAUUAUUAGUAACUUAAAAUUAAUACUGAAAUAACAUGCAAUCAGCAAACUUCAAAAUUGUUGACGGGCUAUACCCGUAGACGGGAUUUAUAAGUAUGGGGAUUGUUGUAACCAGGGUAUACGCGAGACUGUAUCAAGCAGACAAGAACGCAAAGAUUUAUACUAGUUUGAGCCCUCAAGAAGAUUAAUAAUCCUAGUCUAGUUUAUAUUGAUUUAUAGAUAAAAAUAGCACAAAGAUUACAAUGGGGUGUAAGACGAAUAAACAAACCGUCAACUAGAAGCUGUCGACAUUGGCCCGACGAGAUCUAUUCGGCAAAUACGACUAUGGCUUCUCCCGGAUUGCUUCUCAAUGUGGCUCUGGCUACCGCUUGUAACUCGAUCCCCUUCUCGGAAUUAGGGGACCUUGUAUUCACUAUUUAUAGUGUAGAUCUAUCUUUUUCUCCAAGUAUAACUCGAAGAGAUAAAAUAGGAUACGGGUUGGAGGAGACCUUAUCUUUUUCGAAUAAGAUUCUGAAACAUUCUAUUCCAGGAAAAUAAUUUCCUUUCUAUUUGUAGUAUUUCCUUAAUGAAAGGAUGUGUUCGCGUAAACAAUUGGUUAUAUGGUGUUGUCAUAUUCCAUGAGUCCGUGUAUAGGAGAUAUCUAUUAUCCUUACACUAACAAAAAUCAACUCUAAACUUAAGCUUUAAAAAUAAAUUUUAACUACAAAUAAAUAAAGAGCAAACAAUAGAGUGCAACAUCUCAACUAGUUACAAAUAUCUCUUAUUUAAUUUCUCUACCUACCUCUCAUCUGGACUAGUCGUAACUAAUUUUACCCCUCUCUCUUGGAGAGAAAGCUCUUGAAGUGGUUAUAUUUAGAGAUGAAAGGAGUAGGUUAAAAUAAUUAGUGUAAGCAAAAUACGGUAAAAUAAAUUUUCUAUUACUCACUCCGUUCCUAAAUAUAAGGGAUUUUGGUUAGAUAUGAUGUAUUUUAGUACAAUAAAUUUAGACAUGAAGCCUGUCCAGAUUCGUUAUACUAGGAUAUAUUACAUCCAACUAAAAUCUCUUAUAUUUAGAGACGAAGGGAGUUGAAAUGUAAAGGAGGAGUAUAAGACAGGCCAAGACUACACAGUACAGAGUUAGCCAAGAUUGACAUGUGGCUAUGUUAGUUACCUAUGGUUGAGAAUAAAUCGGUCUAACAGAACUGACUUAUUAGCAUAUAAUUAAUUAAGUAUUAAAUAAAAAAUUAAAAAAUAAAUUAAUAUAUUUUUACAGUAACAGUUCUAUAAAAAUUUAAUAAAAAUAUAUUAUUUAGUAGUUCGAAAAACAUACAGGUGAAAAUAAGAGAGUUAUCUUCACUUAAAAGAACAUUUAGUCAAGAACACAACAGUUGGGUGAGCAAGAAAGAAAGAGAGAGAAAGUUCGAGGAGGCCGGUUGAGAAAUGAAUUUAUUUGAAUUUUUUAAAUAACUUAUAUAUAGAAAUUUUUUUAUAAAAUACACAUCAUUUAGUAUUUUAGGGCCUGUUUAGAUUCCAUGGCAAUUUUUUUUAUCCUGUUAAAUCGAAUAUUUUAACUAAACAGGCCCUUAAGCAAACAUCAGUUGAGUGAGCAAGCCGCAGGGGAUCUAUAGGGGCCAGUUGAGAGUUGAGAGAGAGUGAGUACGUCACGUCACAUCAUCAAAGCGGAGGGACAUUACCAAUACCAGCACCGGACGGGUCCACUCCAACUCCAUCCAUUCAUCCAUCGCCGUAUCGUCCGUCCUCAGAGGCCCAGACCAGGCAGUUUCAGUUUCCCUGGUUUCAUGCUCUUACCUUUUGUUGUCUCGCCUUUUACAGUUUUACUACUACUGUGGCCCUGUUCCCACACAAAAAAUUUUCAUCCUGUUACAUCAAAUAUUUAUACACAUACAUAAAGUAUUAAAUAUAGAAAAAAUAACUAAUUACAUAGAUUACGUGUAAAUUACGAGACGAAUCUUUUAAACCUAAUUGCGCCAUGAUUUGACAAUGUGGUGCUACAGUAAACAUUUGCUAAUGACGAAUUAAUUAGGCUUAAUAAAUUCAUCUCGCGGUUUAGUACGUAAUUUGUUUACAGGUGGAAUAUGUAAUUUGUUUUGUUAUUAGACUACGUUUAGUACUUUAAAUGUGUAUCCGUAUAUCCGAUGUGACGCAUUAAAACUUUUCACCCAGCUAUACAUGACUAACCAUGCCACUUGGAGGGUAUCGUGUAACCAAAAUUUAUUCAUCCCUAUUUCCAACAAUAAUUUACUUACUCAUACCUAAAUCAAAUGAGUAUUAUCCUAACCCAACGAAUAAAAGAAAAAACAUACUCCUAUAUGGGUUCCACUCGUAGAAAUGGACUACUAAAAUUUAUAUAAAGUUGCUCUUUCUACAUAAUAAAUCAUUCCUCUGAAUUUUAGUCAAAUUAGAUAAUAUUUUAUAAUGUGAACGCAAGUCUAAAAGUUUUCGGCCCAUAGUGUGGGUAUGGGGAUGGGGAAAUGAAACCCAUUGAUAAGUGUAUUCAUAGUAUUUUGUGUUUAGACUUGGAGUUAAAUUUUUGUAAGAAGUGUUGGUAUAUAGGUUUAGUUGAAGCAAAUGCCUGUUUAUAUGUUAAUUAUCUAAAAUAUUGUUAGUAUCUAUGUAGUAAUAAUAUAUUAUCAGUUUCCUAAUUAUGACUACCGUGAUAGAUGUACAUGAGUAUGUGUUUGAGUUUCUGUAUCAGUUUCCUAAAUUUUGUAGGCUGAUGAGUGAUGACAGUGUUUUGCGUGGUCGACUUGCUAGUGGCUAUUGCAUUUGUUGUGCCCCUUUGUAAACGGCUACAUUCUUUCUUAAUAAAUUUUGACAGGCAAAUAAUUCAUUAUCUAAAAGGAAAAUAUUAUCAUUUGUUUGCAUUCAUAUGAUGUAUCAUAUAUGAAAAACCUUUAAAUUU
rnacentral:lncRNA from 1 species